rnacentral:rRNA from 1 species
AGGGUUUGAUCCUGGCUCAGGAUAAACGCUGGCGGUGUGCUUUAUGCAUGCAAGUCGAACGGUACCGAUGAGCCAAGCUUGCUUGGAACAUCGGGAGAGUGGCAAACGGGUGAGUAACACGUAAGCAACCUACCCCUAAGUAGGGGAUAACUCUGAGAAAUCGGAGCUAAUACUUUAUGUGGUGGUGAAGGUAAUGCUUCAUCACUAAAGCCUUCGGGCGCUUAGGGAGGGGCUUGUGUCCGAUUAGCUAGUUGGUAGGGUAAAGGCUUACCAAGGCGACGAUCGGUAGCUGGUUUGAGAGGACGGUCAGCCACACUGGGACUGAGACACGGCCCAGACUCCUACGGGAGGCAGCAGCAAGGAAUAUUGUGCAAUGGGCGAAAGCCUGACACAGCGACGCCGCGUGAGGGAUGAAGGCCCUCGGGUUGUAAACCUCUUUUCUCAGGGAAGAAAAAUGACGGUACCUGAGGAAUAAGUCUUGGCUAACUACGUGCCAGCAGCCGCGGUAAUACGUAGGAGGCGAGCGUUAUCCGGAUUUACUGGGCGUAAAGAGGGUGCAGGCGGUUCUUCAAGUCGAAUGUAAAAUCUCCCCGGCUCAACUGGGAGGGAACAUUCGAUACUGUUGGGCUAGAGUGCAGCAGAGGGAGGCGGAAUUCCCGGUGUAGUGGUGAAAUGCGUAGAUAUCGGGAGGAACACCAGUGGCGAAAGCGGCCUCCUAGGCUGUUACUGACGCUGAGGCCCGAAAGCGUGGGGAGCGAACAGGAUUAGAUACCCUGGUAGUCCACGCUGUAAACGAUGGACACUAGUAUAGGGAGUAUCGACCCUCUCUGUGCCAAAGCUAACGCGUUAAGUGUCCCGCCUGGGGACUACGGCCGCAAGGCUAAAACUCAAAGGAAUUGACGGGGGCCCGCACAAGCAGCGGAGCGUGUGGUUUAAUUCGAUGCAACGCGAAGAACCUUACCAGGCUUGACAUGGCGGAAGUAGCAUCUCGAAAGGGAGUCACUGUAGUCAGGAGCGUCACAGUGCUGCAUGCUGUCGUCAGCUCGUGCGUGAGUGUAGUAGUCUGUACGAGCGCCAACCCCUGUUGUCAGUAUUUUCUCUGGCGACUGCCCCGCAACGGGAGAAGGUGGGGAUGACUCAGUCGACGCUUAGCUGGCUAACACACACGCUAUACAGGGGGUGGUUACCAAG